GGUGGCUCAGUGGUAGAGUGCUUGCCUUGCAUGCAUGAGGCCCUGGGUUCGAUCCUUCAGCACCA
rfam:Dipodomys ordii contig_16517, whole genome shotgun sequence.